rnacentral:rRNA from 1 species
UCACGCUGUAAACGAUGUCGAUUUGGAGUUUGUUGCCUAGAGUGAUGGGCUCCGAAGCUAACGCGAUAAAUCGACCGCUGGGGAGUACGGCCGCAAGGUUAAAACUCAAAUGAAUUGACGGGGGCCCGCACAAGCGGUGGAGCAUGUGGUUUAAUUCGAUGCAACGCGAAGAACCUUACCUGGUCUUGACAUCCAUAGAAUUCUGCAGAGAUGUGGGAGUGCCUUCGGGAACUAUGAGACAGGUGCUGCAUGGCUGUCGUCAGCUCGUGUUGUGAAAUGUUGGGUUAAGUCCCGCAACGAGCGCAACCCUUAUUCUUUGUUGCCAGCGAUUUGGUCGGGAACUCAAAGGAGACUGCCGUUGAUAAAGCGGAGGAAGGUGGGGACGACGUCAAGUCAUCAUGGCCCUUACGACCAGGGCUACACACGUGCUACAAUGGCGUAUACAAAGGGAAGCGAAGGUGCGAGCUGGAGCGGAUCUCAUAAAGUACGUCUAAGUUCGGAUUGGAGUCUGCAACUCGACUCCAUGAAGUCGGAAUCGCUAGUAAUCGUAGAUCAGAAUGCUACGGUGAAUACGUUCCCGGGCCUUGUACACACCGCCCGUCACACCAUGGGAGUGGGUUGCACCAGAAGUAGAUAGCUUAACCGCGAGGGGGGCGUUUACCACGGUGUGAUUCAUGACUGGGGUGAAGUCGUAACAAGGUAACCA